GGACGAACGCUGGCGGCGUGCCUAAUACAUGCAAGUCGAACGCACGAAGUUGAAGAGCUUGCUCUUUAACCAAAUGAGUGGCGGACGGGUGAGUAACACGUGGGUAACCUGCCCAUUAGAGGGGGAUAACAUUCGGAAACGGAUGCUAAUACCGCAUAGUUUCAGGAAUCGCAUGAUUCUUGAAGGAAAGGUGGCUUCGGCUACCACUAAUGGAUGGACCCGCGGCGUAUUAGCUAGUUGGUGAGGUAAUGGCUCACCAAGGCAAUGAUACGUAGCCGACCUGAGAGGGUGAUCGGCCACACUGGGACUGAGACACGGCCCAGACUCCUACGGGAGGCAGCAGUAGGGAAUCUUCCGCAAUGGACGAAAGUCUGACGGAGCAACGCCGCGUGAGUGAAGAAGGUUUUCGGAUCGUAAAACUCUGUUGUUAAAGAAGAACAAGGAUGAGAGUAACUGCUCAUCCCCUGACGGUAUUUAACCAGAAAGCCACGGCUA
rnacentral:rRNA from 1 species